CUGGUAAGGGCGUAUGGUGGAUGCCUUGGUAGACAGGACCGAUGAAGGACGUGACGGGCUGCGAUAUGCCUCGGGGAGCUGCCGAGUGGGCUUUGAUCCGAGGAUUUCCGAAUGGGGAGACCCGGCCACUGUUAUGGGUGGUCACCACAGUUUUUGUGGGGGGUACGCAGGGAAGUGAAACAUCUCAGUACCUGCAGGAAAGGAUACUCCGUGAGUAGUGGCGAGCGAAAGCGGAUCAGGCUAAACCGAGUACGUGUGAUAACCGUCAGGUGUUGCGUAUUCGGGGUCGUGGGAUUGACUGUUCAGCCUCUGACGGGGUUGAGAAGAGUGAUAAAAUGUCGUGUUAUGUGAAUGGGAUUGAAUUCCCAGCCGUAGAGGGUGAUGGCCCCGUAGCAGGUUGCGCGAUGUCUUUUUAUGUUUAUUCCCAAGUAGCGCGGGCCUCGUGGAAUCCCGCGUGAAUCUGCCCAGACCGUUGGGUAAGCCUAAGUAUUCCUGUCUGACCGAUAGUGUACUAGUACCGUGAGGGAAAGGUGAAAAGCACCCCGGGAGGGGAGUGAAAUAGUUCCUGAAACCGUGCGCUUACAAUCCGUCGGAGCCUUCUUUGUGGGGUGACGGCGUGCCUAUCGAAAAAUGAGUCUGCGAGUCAGUGGUAUGUGGCGAGGCUAACCCGGGUGGGGGAGCCGUAGCGAAAGCGAGUUUUAAAAGGCGUUUUAGUCGCAUGUCCUGGACCCGAAGCGGGAUGAUCUAGCCCUGAGCAGGUUGAAGCGCGGGUAAGACCGUGUGGAGGACCGAACCCACCUAGGUUGAAAACUGGGGGGAUGACUUGGGGUUAGGGGUGAAAGGCCAAUCAAAUUCCGUGAUAGCUGGUUCUCUCCGAAAUGCAUUUAGGUGCAGCGUCAUGUUAUUGCUUGCAGGGGGUAGAGCUACUGGAUGCUUGCGGGCCCAUACCGGGUACUAAUAGCAGCCAAACUCCGAAUACCUGUUAGGUUUAUCAUGGCAGUGAGUCGGCGGGGGAUAAGCUCCGUCGUCAAAAGGGAAACAGCCCUGAUCGUCGUCUAAGGUCCCGAAGCGCGUGCUAAGUGGGAAAGGAUGUGGAGUCGCAUAGACAGCCAGGAGGUUGGCUCAGAAGCAGCCAUCCUUGAAAGAGUGCGUAACAGCUCACUGGUCUAGUGGUUCCGCGCCGACAAUGUAGCGGGGCUUAAGCACGCCACCGAAGACGCGACUGCAUGAUUUAGUUCAUGUGGGGUAGGAGAGCGUCCUGUAUGGGGUGAAGCGGCAGUGUGAACUUGUCGUGGACUAUACGGGAGUGAGAAUGCAGACAUGAGUAGCGAGAGACAGGUGUGAAUCCUGUCCGCUGAAUGACUAAGGGUUCCGGGGCCACGUUCGUCGUCCCCGGGUGAGUCGAGUCCUAAGGCGAGGCCGACAGGCGUAGUCGAAUGGAUGAACGGGUUGAUAUUCCCGUACCGGUGUUACACCGUUCGAACUGAAUCUGAGAGUACUAACCUUCGUUAUUCUGGUUGAUUAUCUUUCGGGGUUUUCUUCUGGUUUAGUGUUGGGACUGUAUCGGUAGUAGGUUAGCGUGGGAGUGACGCGGGUAGGUAGCCGGCUGCGGAGGUGGUUUUCCGUGGCUAAGCGUGUGGGCUGUCCUNNNNNNNNNNNNNNNNNNNNNNNNNNNNNNNNNNNNNNNNNUGUGAUUCCGCUCGUACCCUAAACCGACACUGGUGGUCUGGUAGAGUAUACCAAAGCGAUCGGGCGAAUCCUGGCCAAGGAACUCGGCAAAUUACUCCCGUGCCUUCGGCAUAAGGGAGACCCCUGAUGGUGAUAUGGUUUCACAUUGUUGAGCUGUUGGGGGUGGCACAAGCUAGGGGGUAGCGACUGUUUACCAAAAACACAGGAGCGUGCGAAGGCGUAAGCCGCUGUAUACGCUCUGACGCCUGCCCGGUGCCGGAAGGUUAAGAGGAUCCGUUAGCUUCGGUGAAGCGGUGAAUUUAAGCCCCGGUAAACGGCGGUGGUAACUAUAACCAUCCUAAGGUAGCGAAAUUCCUUGUCGGGUAAGUUCCGACCUGCACGAAUGGCGUAACGACUUCCCCACUGUCUCGGCCAGGAGCCCGGCGAAAUUGCAGUACGAGUAAAGAUGCUCGUUAAGCGCAGAAGGACGAAAAGACCCCGGGACCUUUACUAUACCUUGGUAUUGUCGUUAGGUGUGGAUCGUGUAGCAUAGGCGGGAGGCUGUGAAGCGUGGGCGCUAGCUUGCGUGGAGUCGAUCAGUGAAAUACCGCUCUUUCCAUAUCUGGCGUCUAACCUCGACACGUUAUCCGUGUUAGGGACAGUGCCUGGCGGGUAGUUUAACUGGGGCGGUUGCCUCCUAAAGAGUAACGGAGGCGCUCAAUGGUCCGCUCAGCCCGGUUGGCAAUCGGGUGUUGAGUGUAAUCGCACAAGCGGGCUUGACUGUGAGACUGACGGGUCGAGCAGGGACGAAAGUCGGAGAUAGUGAUCCGGUGCCGGCGUACGGACGUGGCAUCGCUCAACGGAUAAAAGGUACCCCGGGGAUAACAGGCUGAUCAUUCCCAAGAGUCCAUAUCGACGGGAUGGUUUGGCACCUCGAUGUCGGCUCGUCGCAUCCUGGGGCUGGAGCAGGUCCCAAGGGUUCGGCUGUUCGCCGAUUAAAGCGGCACGCGAGCUGGGUUCAGAACGUCGUGAGACAGUUUGGUCUCUAUCCUCUGCGCUCGUUGGAAUGUUGAGGAGACCUGCCCAUAGUACGAGAGGACCUGGGUGGACGAACCUCUGGUAUGCCGGUCGUCACGCCAGUGGCGCUGCCGGUUAGCUACGUUUGGAAGGGAUAACCGCUGAAAGCAUCUAAGCGGGAAGCCUGCUCCAAGAUUAGCAUUCCUUGCACUUUGUGUGUGAGCCCCCAUGUAGAACACGUGGUUGAUAGGCUGGAUGUGGAAGCCCUGUAAGGGGUGGAGCUGACCAGUACUAAUGGGCGAUUGUGA
rnacentral:rRNA from 1 species